rnacentral:piRNA from 1 species
AUUACUAAAUGCUUUGAUUUCAG